rnacentral:rRNA from 1 species
AUGGCUAGUUCUUUGGUGAUAUACCAUUCCUUUCUAUCUCUGUUUACAGACUCCUCCCAUGUCAAGUUUGGUCUACAUCCACCUCUCUUGCAUUAUGAGCACGCUUUAACCGUCCGCUAUACAUUGGAGCUUCUGAGGCCUCGGUUGCAUAUUCCAAAAUCAUCUCAGAAGAUGUUGGAGAAGCUUCUUUUCAAUCGGUGCUACCGCAACUCUCUCAUGUAUAUCAUCAUUCCGGUCCUUUAUAUCUCUCUUUGCGGAUUCCUCCCAUGUCAAGUUUGGUCUACCAUGACCUCUCUUGCAUUAUCAACACACUUUAACCGUCCGCUAUACAUUGGAGCUUUUGAGGUCCGAGUUGUAUAUAUGCCCAAACCAUCUUAG